GGAGUUAGCCGGUGCUUCUUCUGUGAGUGAUGUCCUUCCUGCCGGCUAUUAACCCGCAGGCCUUCUUCCUCACUGAAAGUGCUUUACAACCCGAAGGCCUUCUUCACACACGCGGCAUGGCUGGAUCAGGGUUGCCCCCAUUGUCCAAUAUUCCCCACUGCUGCCUCCCGUAGGAGUCUGGGCCGUGUCUCAGUCCCAGUGUGGCUGAUCAUCCUCUCAGACCAGCUACGGAUCGUCGCCUUGGUGAGCCGUUACCUCACCAACCAGCUAAUCCGACAUAGGCUCAUCCGAUAGCGCGAGGCCCGAAGGUCCCCCGCUUUCCCCCGUAGGGCGUAUGCGGUAUUAGCCUGGGUUUCCCCAGGUUAUCCCCCACUACCGGGCAGAUUCCUAUGCAUUACUCACCCGUCCGCCGCUCGCCACCAGGGAGAAAGCUCCCCGUGCUGCCGCUCGACUUGCAUGUGUUAGGCCUGCCGCCAGCGUUCAAUCUGAGCCAGAAUCAAACUCUGA
rnacentral:rRNA from 1 species